CCCGGCCCGUUCCACCAGCGGGGCCCGCCCCCUCAGCCUGCAAACUCUACCCAGGUGUUUCCCUUGUCCCAGUGCCCCUCGUGCCCUGGGCGGAUUCCCUCUCUCCCGCUCCCGCAACCCGGCUUCCCUGCUGAGGGGCUUGGGUCUCUCCCUCCAGAAAAGAGGAGCCGGAGGAGGACCUGAAAGCAGGGGUGUCGUUUUCAGACCUGCGUGUUAGGAAGGUCCCGGUGGCUCCUGCGAGGAGGAGGGACUGUAGCGGCUGGAACUGGAGCUGAGGACGAAGUUCCGAGGCUGUCGGUACAUGGCAGGUGCCUGCGGGACACGGCCCACCUGAAGCUUAGGCUCCAACGACGGUGGAGUCGCAAGAAUGUAGUGGAAGCUGACGCCAUGAGGCAUAAACAUCUCAUGAAACAACCCAACUUCAGACGUUUUUCAUAGUGUCCCUUUACCCAGCAGUGGCGAUGGAUCAGAAGGGUAUGGACAAGCUUUCUUGGGUUUUUGGUGCUCCUUGUCAUGUCCUAACCAGAGACCUGGGCAGCCAGAGGCAGGAAACCCAGAAUGGAGAUGAUGCUUUCUAUGCUGCUAUGCCCAUCAAUGAAAUAAAUAAUGUAGAAAAGAGAACCCUGCUUAUACUUAGCUCUGCAUCUAUAAAUAAAACUCUAUAAAUUGUUCUUUA